UUCAGCAAGUGCUCUGCCGCUCGCAGCUUUGAGAACUAAUGCGUUGCCGCCCCCUUGUGGUUAAAUGAGCAUCCGGCUCUAUCAGUCGGUUAAACCCGAAACUCAGUGGUGUUCUGCGUGCGCGGUCUCUUCAGACAAGCGAUCAACAUUUCACGUUUGUCCUCAGAGCCGGGACACCGUGUCCCCCAGAUACUGUGCCCACUUUCUCCUUGGCCUUGCAUACAAACACUCUUGGCCGAUCUCCUGCAGGGAAAGCCUGAAGCGACUUCGGCCCAUCUGGAUCAGAGCACCUGUUAAAAUUCCCGGAUGUGGCUGGUUGUGUUUUGGGUGGAGAUGAGAGGAUAGCCUGCUCUCCGCGUGAAAGACUGGCAGCUCUGAGGAGCGAGAGCGGCCCGACUCCCACAACCCUUUGCCUGAAGAUGUGCCUCUUGUUCUCAGGCCUGUGUCCACUUCCCCAUAGUUUCUGCUGACAUCUUCAGCUUUUAUGUUUAAGUUUCGAUUCUAAGGAAGUGAGAUGGGUUGAUUUGCUUGUUUUUCAAAAAAUAAACUAAAAAAAUAAAUUAUUCAGUUUCUUAUUGCUUUCUUUGAUUACACACAGUCAAGAGACCCAUACAGCACCUGUACCAGUGGAUUGAUA